rnacentral:rRNA from 1 species
GAUGAACGCUGGCGGCGUGCCUAAUACAUGCAAGUCGAGCGAACGGACGAGAAGCUUGUUUUUCUGAUGUUAGCGGCGGACGGGUGAGUAACACGUGGAUAACCUACCUAUAAGACUGGGAUAACUUCGGGAAACCGGAGCUAAUACCGGAUAAUAUUUUGAACCGCAUGGUUCAAAAGUGAAAGACGGUCUUGCUGUCACUUAUAGAUGGAUCCGCGCUGCAUUAGCUAGUUGGUAAGGUAACGGCUUACCAAGGCAACGAUGCAUAGCCGACCUGAGAGGGGGAUCGGCCACCCGGGAACUGGAACACGGACCAGAGUCCUACGGGAGGCAGCAGUAGGGAAUCUUCCGCAAUGGGCGAAAGCCUUACGGAGCAACGCCGCGUGAGUGAUGAAGGUCUUCGGAUCGUAAAACUCUGUUAUUAGGGAAGAACAUAUGUGUAAGUAACUGUGCACAUCUUGACGGUACCUAAUCAGAAAGCCACGGCUAACUACGUG